CAGCAGCCGCGGUAAUACGUAGGUGGCAAGCGUUGUCCGGAAUUAUUGGGCGUAAAGGGCUCGCAGGCGGUUUCUUAAGUCUGAUGUGAAAGCCCCCGGCUCAACCGGGGAGGGCCAUUGGAAACUGGGAAACUUGAGUGCAGAAGAGGAGAGUGGAAUUCCACGUGUAGCGGUGAAAUGCGUAGAGAUGUGGAGGAACACCAGUGGCGAAGGCGACUCUCUGGUCUGUAACUGACGCUGAGGAGCGAAAGCGUGGGGAGCGAACAGGAUUAGAUACCCCAGUAGUCCCUGUCUCUUAUAC
rnacentral:rRNA from 1 species